rnacentral:rRNA from 1 species
CCCUUAGAUGUUCUGGGCAGCACGCGCGCUACAAUGGUCUUCGCAAACGGAUGCAUUCUCGAAGGAGAAUGCCAAUCUUGGAAUCUAUGCCUUGGUCGGGACAGUUGCUUGCAAUUUUUCGACUCGAACCAGGAAUUCCUUGUAAUCGUGAUUCAUCACAUCACGAUGAAUACGUCCCUGCCCUUUGUACACACCGCCCGUCGCUCCUACCGAUUGAAGAGUUAGGUGAAUUGUUUUGAUCGAUAAGAUUUGACUAUGGUCAACUCUCGUUGUGAAAUUCUGUGAAUCUGACUGUUUAGAGGAAGGAAAAGUCGUAACA